rnacentral:rRNA from 1 species
CAGAAUUCCGCGAAUCAUCGAGUCUUUGAACGCAAGUUGCGCCCGAGGCUUGACCAAGGGCAUCCCUGCCAGAGCGUCAUUUUGACACCCACCAAUCCGCUCCCAGCUAGCUCUGGGAGUUGUGUGAUCGAGUGGAAUUGGCCGUCCGAAUGGGGCCACACCACCCGGGACUUCGUGUGCCUUGGGUGGGAGUUGGCGGAUUGGGUUGGCUGAAAGGGAGGAAGGAAUUUGGCCGCCGUGGUGACAGAGCCCGCGAUCAGGUGAUCCGGGUCUCGUCCUGGGAAAAGCUCAAGUGUGGUGCUGUGUCCCCCAGUUGGUAACGAGGAUUCCAAAGCAGGUCCCGGACUCCCCCCAAGGGAGGGAGUCCCGAGGUAACGUCACGCAUCAGACCUCUGAUCAGGGAAGACUACCCGCUGAGUU